rnacentral:lncRNA from 1 species
CACACUUACACUUGAUAUUCUGUACUCAAAAUUGAAAGCUCAUGAAUUAGAUAUUCUUGCUAGGAGAACCGGUUCCAAAUCAAUUGCACUUUUUACUAACCCUAACAGCUCUAAUGAUGGUACUUCUACGUAUUGCUAUGUUCUGUCUUCUUUGUCUCAACUAACUGAUGAAGCGCUAGAGCAAUAUCCGGAGGAAGAAUUGGCACUC